UUUGUUUUUUAAUUAAAAACUAGAAUGAAAGGUUAUACAUUCAAAUUUCUUUAUUAAUUUUUAAUAAAUAAUUUAUAUUAAAUAUAAAAAUAUAUUUAUAAAAAAAAAAGACGACAAGACCCUAUUAAAUUUUACUUAUAGUUUAGCUGGGGAAGCUUUUCAAUUAAAAUUUUUUAAAAUCUUAAAAUAAAUAUCUAAUUUAAAUUAAAAUUUAAAUAAAUUACUAUAGGGAUAACAGCAUUAUAUUUUUUAAAAGUUCAUAUUAAAAAAAAUGAUUGUGACCUCGAUGUUGAAUUAUAUUUUCUAUAUUUAAUGCAAUAAUUAUAAAAGUAGAUCUGUUCGAUCUUUAAAAUAUUACAUGAUUUGAGUUCAAACCGGUGUAAACCAGGUUGGUUUCUAUCUUUUUAUAUAUUUUUCCAGUACGAAAGGACAAAAAAAUUUUUAUUUUAAUAAAUUAGCAAAUAUAAUGCAUUAGAUUUAGAAUCUAAAUAUAUUUAAAUU
rnacentral:misc_RNA from 1 species